UUAUCAAUGUUUUAUAGUUUUCUGCUUAUAGGUCUUUCACCUGCUUGGUUAAAUUUAUUCCUAGGUUUUGGGUUUUUUGGGUUUUUUGAUGUGAUUUUAGAUGGGAUUUUUUUUUUUACUUCCUCUUUCUGAUAUUUCAUUGUUAGUGUAAAGAAAUACAACAGAUUUCUGUAUAUUAAUUUUGUAUCCUGCUACUUCACAUACCAAUGUGAAAAUAAUGCUAAUCUUGUAUAUGCCAAUUUUAACUAGCCUCAAAAUUUAUAAAGUAAAAAUAGAACCAUAAGAAAAUUAUAAAAGUCCCUCACAAUAGUGGAGAUUGCAAGAAAACUUUCAAAGAAACUAGGAGAGAAGGAAGAUUUAAACAGCAAAAGUAACAAGAUUGUUUUAAAGUUCAAGUUAAAGAGGGUAUUUGGUUAUAAAAGAAAGCCUUAGCCUUUGAUAGGCUAGGGAUGAAAGAUGAAUGGACUAUAAGAAGGAAAAUUAGAUACACAGAACGUAAAACACAACUAAAACUUAGACUCUAUGCUUUGGAAAGGUAAAAUUUGCAAUUUGCUAAAAUGCCAGCAGGGGGCAGAAGAUUCCAAAUGUGAUAUUUUACUGCCACCUAUUGUUAAGAGCUGGAAGGCUUUAUAAAGAUUAUAAAAAAAUAAUGUUUAUUAUGAGGAUGAACAAACUGAGGACUAGGAAAGAUAUUACUUUCCAGGGUCACACACCUAGUAAGUGUCAGAGGCAGAACUCAAAUCCAUCUCUUGGUUCAUCUUUAAUAGGCCAUAUUCAAAGAGGGAAAAGGGAAAUACAGAUGAAAUUGUUGGUUUUUCAGUCUUGCUCUCCCAAUAAUUAUUUUUAGUUUUCUUAAAUAGUGCAAGGUUUGAUGAAGCCUAGGAUUGAUUCUGUUUUGAUUUUUUUUUAAUUAAUGAAUUUAUUUAUGUUUUGGCUGCGUUGGGUCUUCAUUGCUGCACGUGGGCUUUCUCUAGUUGUGGCCAGCAGGGGCUACUCUUUGUUGUGGUGCGCAGGCUUUUCAUUGCAGUGGCUUCUCUUGUUGUGGAGCAUGGGCUCUAGGCACGCAGGCUUCAGUAGUUGUGGCAUGUGGGCUCAGUAGUUGUGGCUUUUGGCUCUAGAGCGCAGGCUCAGUAGUUGUGGCACACGGGCUUAUUGCUCCGCGGCGUGUGGGAUCUUCCUGGACCAGGGCUCGAACCCGUGUCCGCUGCAUUGGCAGGUGGAUUCUUAACCACUGUGCCACCAGGGAAGUCCAGCUGUUUUGAUUUUUAAAAAUGAUGGUUGAGCUGGAUCUGGAUUUCAGUAGAAAUAGUUUCUUUGUAGCUGAGUGACUGUUAGAAUGCAAGAACUUCUCAAGUUACAAGUAGAGUCCUCCAUCCUUGAGGCUAUAGCAUUCCCCUUCCUCCCCCACACAAAUGUUCUGUGUGUGUGUGUGUGUAUGUGUGUGUGCGCGCGCCUGCCUACGGUCCCCAGUUCUUUAGUAAGCAAUGUUUGUGACAUUCAGGGAAGUGUCAUUGUCACUAGGUGCCUUCCUAUUGUCAUCCUCACCAUUGUUAAGGGCAUUUUUACCUCUGCCUACGGCUGUAACAAGUGGAUUAUCAGCUUCUGAAAGUGGGAAAAUAGUAGAACUAAAAAAAAAAUUAAAAACUGAUUUUUCAGGGGAAAAAGACAAACUGUUGGCUAUACCAGUCAUAAAAAGGAGAGUACUAAAGGCAAAUGCACAAAAUAGGAAAUAAGGGAGAAAUAGCCAUAAAAGCAGAGGGAACUAAAAGGAUAACGAAAGACUGUUUUGUUCAAUUCCAUAUGAAUAAAUUUGAAAACUUUUCUAAGAGAAUACAAUUUACCCAAACUGAAGUUUUAAAAUCUAAACAGAUUUCUCUAGGGAAAAAAUGGUCAGAUUGCUGCCAACCCUGACAAAUUACUCCAAUAUAUAGUUUCACAGGGCAAUACUACUAAACCUUUAAAGGGCAGAUAAUUCUAAUGCCUAGCAAGCGAAGAACCUAGGAAGAGAAGAAAACUUCUAAAUUGUUUUUGUCAAGCUAAAAAAACCUGAUAAGGAUUGGCACAAAGAAAAAAUUGAAAGGGUAUCUUGAAAAAGAAUAUUAAUGCAAAAAUUCUAAAUAAAAUGUUAUCACUGUGAAUUCAGCAGCAGUUUAAUAGACUCAUAUGCCAUAACCAAAUGUUUAAUGUUAGGGCAUCUAUUGGUAUAAUUCAUCAUCUGGCUGGGUCUAGAGAGGGAUCCUAGGGAAGAAAAUCAUUUGCUUCUAAUUCCAAAGAUGCUGAAAAGGCAUUGGUCAAAUUCAAUACCCAUUCUUGGUGAGGGGAAAAAAGGGACAUAAUCUAAUAACAUAUACCCCAACAUAAUCUAUGCCCCAAAGCCAGCAUCAUGUUUAGUAGGGAGAUACUAGAAGCAUUUAAUAUGGUACUGGAGGAAUUAAAUGUACAUAUAAGUAUUUUAAAGGAGGUUGCAUCAGCACUAUUUGCAGACAUCAUGAUCACAUUCCCAAAAAACUAAAUCAACUAAAAACUACUAGAAAUAAGGAAUUUAGUAAAGGAGCAGUGUGUAAACAAAUCAAUCAGGACAAAAAAUUAAUUAUAUAUUCAAAUAUAUAUGUCUGUAACUGCUAAUACCAACAUAGUGCUUAUCACGGGUCAGGCACUGUUCUAAAGGUUUUACAUGUAUUAACUCUUGCAGUGUUCACCAUAACCUCAUGAGGUAUAUACUAUUAUGAUCUUCAUUUAGAAAUAAGGAAAUGGAAUCAGAUAGAGGUAAAGUAACAUUUUCUUGGUCACACAACUAGAGCAGAAUUUGAACCCAGGCAGGCUAGUCCCAGAAUUCAUGCUUUUUUCCACUAGGGCCAUAGUGGUUCUUGAUAUAUAAAAGGAGGGGCGUGGGAUCAUUUACAAUGACAACAAAAAACACCUAUGCAUAAAUUAAACCAAAAAUGUGUAUUAGUAAUAUGAAGACCAUUUAAAAUGCCCUGAAAGGAUGCAAAAGAAGGCUUGAACAAAUGGAAAGGGUUAUUAUAGAAAAUAAAAAUUCCAUUAGAAAAAAGAAUGGGAGAUAAAGCAUAUGAAAAUUCUAGGCUUAGAUCGCUCUUGGAAGAAAGAGGACAGGUAAUUAGAAGGGCUUGGGAUAUUAAGGGAGAGUUCUUUACAGAUUUGAACAAGUUUAUAGGUCAAGAGGAAGAUACCAGUUCAGAGGGAGAAGUUGAAAAUAAGGGAAAUGGAAAUAAUUGGAGGGAAAUCAGAGGUGAGGGAGAGGCAGUGGGUGAAGGUUUCAAACACCUUUUCCAUCGACACAGGAGGGAAGGAUUGGAGUAGAUACAGCUUUUUGUGGGAAGAGGGAUGGACAGGUAGUUGUAGGAUCUGAUUUUAAUGACUUUCCUAGGUGAAGGAGGUGGCAAGAUCUCAGAGUAAAGGGAAACUGUGCAGAGUGGCAUCGCUUUGGAAUAGCUGCUGAGAGAGAUGGAAAAAGAAGUGGAUCCAAGAUAAGUGAAAGGGUUGAGUAGUAAUGAGCCCCAGGUAAACUGGAAACUGGGAGGUGGUAAGAGCCCCUGUGUGAAUAGUUACACAGUGCUUUUCUGCUGCGGUGAUGGAGAUGUGAAGAUGGUUUCCUGAAGGGCACUUACGUUGUCGGGGCCUCAGGUUUGGCAGUCCAGGAGAGACUAUAGAGUGAAAAUGCUCAGACAAAACAGUUCAAGUGAUGGAUGGGGAAGAAGAGGCAACUGAAAAAGCUUAGCAACCAGAGGAAAAUGACUGGAUCUAGGCAUUAAAGAAAUUAAAUUAAAUCUCUUAAUGAGAUCAAUGAAUAAGUAGUAUAAAAGGUGAGGAAUCAGAAGAAUUGGAGGUUUUGAGCAGAGACAGAAUUAUUAAGAUUUCAGAGCUGGAGUUCUUGCUGAUAACAAGUGUGGACGUGUGUGGAGGUGGUUUAAGUGAACUGCAGGUUUCUAGAGUAAAUGUCAAAAAAUCAUACAAGUGACCAUGUUGGACACUGAACUGUUCAACAUGAUUAACAGAGGAAAAACGGAGAAUUGAGCUAGGUGACAGUCCUCAGUCAAUGGGGAAAAUGGCUUGGAAGAUAUUAGGGGACACACAGAGAAGAAAAGGUGGUAGAGCUAGCCGGCACGAGUAUCAUAAAGGCAGAGAGUUUUGCAUGGGGCUGAAAGAGAGUGGAUGGGGAAGUGGGAAUCAGGAGGAAGGUGUGCAUUGUGGGAUAGUUGAAGAGAAAAGGCAGCCUCCACUUGAAAAGGACUAAAAGAAAUGGUGUUGGAAGACAAUUUAGACUUCAGAUUGGGCAGAAAGAAAAGGAGGCAGUAUUUAUUGAUCACCUGUUUAUGCAAAACACUGAUAUAAUUAGUCUUCACAACAGCCCCCCCCCGCCUUUUUUUUUUUUGGCGGUACGCGGUCUCUCACUGCUGCGGCCUCUCCCGUUGCAGAGCACAGGCUCCGGACGCGCAGGCUCAGCGGCCAUGGCUCACGGGGCCAGCCGCUCCGCAGCAUGUGGGAUCCUCCGGGACCGGGGCACAAACCCGUGUCCCCUGCAUCUGCAGGCGGACUCUCAACCACUGCGAUACCAGGGAAGCCCCCACAACAGCCCUUUUAUAAUCCUUUCCACUUUAGGGAUUAAGAAGUGGGUUUAGAAAUCACCAGUGUUAAAAGAAACACUGAGGUUGGGCUUCCCUGGUGGAGCAGUGGUUGAGAGUCUGCCUGCUAAUGCAGGGGACACGGGUUCGAGCCCUGGUCUGGAAGGAUCCCACAUGCCGCGGAGGAACUGAGCCCGUGAGCCACAGCUCCUGAGCCUGCGCGUCCGGAGCCUGUGCUCUGCAACGAGAGGUCGCGAUGGUGAGAGGCCCGCGCACCGCGAUAGGGAGUGGCCCCCGCUUGCCACAACUAGAGAAAGCUCUCGCACAGAAACGAAGACCCAACACAGCAAAAAUAAAUAAAUAAAUUACUAAAACUCCUACUCGCAACAUCUUCUUAAAAAAAAAAAAAAAAAGAUACACCGAGGCAUAUUAAAAUUUUUAAGCGUUUAUUUGAGCAUUUAUGGAUUCUAAUUGGGUAAAGACAAGCUGGAAGUAGUUAGGAGCACUCCACCAAAGGAGCCAGAAGAAAGACUUAUUAGAGAAAGUAUGGAAAGUAUGGAAGCAAAGAAAGGAAAUUAUUUGAUUGUCUAGAGCGUAAAGACUAGUUCGCUAUUUGUGAUUGGUUGUCCUUAGCUUUCCAUUUCAUAACCUUGAGUUAUUUACAGGCUUAGAUUUUGGUUUGCUUACCUAGGCUGCCAUGGCAUUAGAGCCACAUCAGUCUCAUGUCCUCCUUGUUUAACUAAUUUAACACCAGUAUAAUGUGCCUGAAAUCAUGUAUUUAAAAAGAUUAAAUCCCAGGUUAAACCUGAGUUCUAUAUGGUUCUAAAGCCUGUGAUAUUUGCAAAAAAUAUGCUAUCUUCUGUCUGUUGGGGAGGUAUCAUUCCAAGAUGGCAGACUAGAUAAGAAAAACUGUCUAUGAAUUCCUGAGUAAAAUAAAAUCAGAAUUCUUUAAAAGGCCCAGCUAAUCUUAAGAAAUAAAGGGAAAUACCCAGGUAUCAGAAUCAAAGAAGAAACUGACAAGUAGAGUGACAAGCACUGACUGGAGCUGAGGCUCUGGGCGUCCUGGGGUUGGGGAGGGUUUCAUUUCCUUAGAUGCUGGGUAUUUAACCUCCAGGAAGGGAUAGGAAACAAGAUUUGGGGUUAGGCAUGGCAGGAACAGUGAAAGAGUAAACCUAAAAAAAUCUGCCCAAUAAGACAACAAAGGAUGAAUGAAUGACCCUGGGUGACAAGGGCAGUCUCCCCUGAGGAAUUAAAACCAGGGGGCUGUGCUGCACACAGGCUUGGGUCUAAACUUUCAGUAUAGUCUAGGAACCACCAAUCCAAAAGUUAAAAUACAAACCGGUGCAGGGUGGGUGAUACUCCUGGUAUUAGGGUUGCCAGAUGUAGCAACUAAAAGUUAAAGGACAUGAAUACUUUUUUAGUAUAAAUCCGUCCCAUUGCACAGAACAUACUUGAACUAAAGAAUUAUUUGUUUUUUAUCUGAAAUUCAAACUUCACUGGGUAUCCUGUAUUUUAUCUGGCAGACCUACCUGGUGUACCUGACAGAUACAAAUUCGAAACCCCUCAGAAAGGACAUUGUCAUGAAGUUUUCACAAGGAGGAAAAAGCCCUGCUGAGGGAUGGCUCACAAUCAAAAGUCUGAGACCACACAAAGACACAAACCAUCACAAACAAGAGUCGGUAGAAACAACAAACAGGACAGAGCCUCAAGAACUUCUGCUUGUUCAUUCACUGAGCAAAUACUUCUUGAACACUGUCCUAAGUGCUGGGAGUAUACAGGGAACAAAACAGACAAAAGUCAUUCCCCUCAUGGGAUGUGGUCUAGUGGGAGAGUCAGAUAAUAAGCAAGAAAACAAAACUGUGCCGGAUUAGUGACACACAUUAAGGAGAAAAGUAAAGUAGGAAAGGAGAUAGAAAAUAUGUUAGACGAGAAAUGUGCAGUUUUCUGCCAGGGAGAGGAAGGAAGAGGUUGUGGAGGUUUCAGUGGAGUACAGACUUGACAGAGGUAAAAGGACAAGCCGUGCAGCCAUCCAGGGGAAGAGCUUCCCAGGAAGAGAACAGCAAGUGCACGUGUAGGUGACAGCCAGAGGGCCCACGUGGCUGGCAUGGGGUAAACAAGGUGGGAGAAGUGGGAGAUGAGGUCAGAGAGGUGACAGCAUGAUGGGGGGGUGGAGAUCACAGAUUUGUCCUGUCCGACACAGUAGCCACAUGUGGCCAUCUACAUUUAAAUAAAUGAAAAUUCAACAAUUAAAAAUGUAUUCCUCAGUCACUCCAGCCACAUUUCAAGUGCUCCAUAGACACAGGUGGCUGGUGGCUACCCUACUGAGCAGCUCAGGGAGUAUUUCCAUUCUUGCAAAAGUUUUACUGGACAGUGUUCACAGAGCCUUAUCACUGCACAGACUUUGGCUUUUACUCUAAAUGAGAUGAAGAUAACAGAAAAAUCAAAGAGAAUGUAAAAUUAGUAGGUUUCAAAUGAUUAAAAGAAGGAAUCAAAGCCAAAGAAAAUACCAAGACAAUGUAGAAAAGGGAAGACUUGAAAAAGAAUCAGCAGACCGUCCAGAAAUUUUUUUAUAAUUGACAUUAAAACCUCAAUGAUUAAACAGCCGAUUAGAUAGCAGAACUGAGAAUUAGUAAACUGGAGUGUAAUAUGUAAUCUUAUACAGUGCUUCAUGUGGGCCAGACGGUGCUCUGAAAGCUUCAUUUAAUCUUCAUAACAGCCAUAGGUAGGGGGAGAGUAUUUUUUUCCCCCCAGGUAACAAGCAAGGAAACAGGUGCAGAGAAGUUCUGGUGCCUUGUCCACCAUGCACUCAACAACUGUGCCAUGUUGUCUUUCAGGAAUUUACCUAGAACGCAGCACAGAACGAUAAUGAGAUGGAAAGUAAGAGGGAUGAAGAGACAUGGGGGAUAGAAUGAGAAGGUCCAAUGAGCAUCCAACAGGAAUUCCAGGACUGAAUAAAGAAAACAGCAAAGAGGCAAGUAGUAUUGGAAAAAAGGGGCUGAGACUUUUCACAGUUGAUAAAGAUGAAUCCUAAGAUUCUAGAAGCACAAUUCCCAAGUGAAUACAAAUGAAUUUAUAGCCCCACACAAAGUGGUAAAAUUGCAGAAUACCAAAAAGCAGAGUGAGAAAUCUUUAAAGCCUCUAGGGGAAUUUAUUCCCAGAAUAGGGAGAGGCUGGGCGAGAGACCCAUAGUGGGAGAUGAGAGGUGUAGCGGGCCAUGAACACAGCAGUGUGGCUUUGAGAGGGGCACUGGGUGACUGGAUGGGCUGUGUUUUGGGGAGAGACUGCUAGCUGGACUGUAUUCAACCCUAGCUUCUCAUUAGUGGGACUCAGCUCCUCCCCGUUCCUGGCAAGAGCCUAGGCAUGUGCUCUCUCUUAAGUAAGUACAGGAUGAGCACUGCUCUCAGAACCUUAAUAAAUAUUUGGUGCAUGAAUGAAUGCAAGAGAAGCAUUUUGAGAAUAGUGAGGCCAAGCUGGUGGCUAUACUUGGAUUGCUGAACUGAUGUAUGUAUUUAUGAAAGGCCUUGUGGUGAUGUUUUUAUGAAAGGCUAUUCAUGGUGUCUAUAGUUGUGCAUAUAAUAUAAAUUUGAUUUUAGUUUCUGCUAAGAAUCUAAAGCAGUGUAAGAUAAACACAGAAAAAUCUCUAGCAUCCUUUCCAGAGCUUUUCUAGGCUGAUUAUAAAUAUUGGUGCAAGUGUAAAUCAUAGUAGUAGAACCCAGAGCACAGUUUCAGCAGCCUCUGUGGACUGCAUAGUCUUGUCUGUCAGAGCAGAUGUGUUUCCACCACAAUUGUAAAAAGUGACAGAAUGCAAUCUUUGCCUCCCAAUAGGAUUUGAUAACAGAAAAACAGACAAUUGCCUUAUCUUAUGUGCUAACGUUGCAGAACAAUGGAAAAGAAAAACAGUAUUUUCCUGCUCUUAUCCUCUAGUUUAGGCUUGGCUGUGUUGCGUGUAUCAGACAGACUUUUCCACUGCCCAUGCUAGGCUACACAGUAGGCCAUUCUGAGGAAGCGGUGUUCCAAAACAAAGUCCUGUUCUCCCACUUUCUGUCAUGAUUAGAUCAUGUAUACAGGGAAGAAAUGUGAUAGAUGGACACAGCCCCACUAUAAAGAAGUCUGUUUUUAUGGACUAAUAUUUUAAUGUUAAAAAUAUAUACAGCCCAAAUGUUGUCACAAUUAAUUCUUAUCUGUAAGCCUUGGAGGAAGGCACAUUCACAUCUUUGUUACACAUGAGGAAACUGAGGCUUAGGGUUAUGUAAUGACCAACUGAAUAUACAAAUGGAUCAUGGCCAUACCAUAAGUAAAAGCGGAACUGUGGCUGGCAGUGCACAGCAGUAAGCACGGGAAACCAACUCAUCAUCCACAGUCACCAGCCCAGAACCCAGCGGCCUGCUGUAAGUCAGACUUGUAGGAAGUCUACAAGUUGUAGACUGGAUUGUUACUUUUUGUAACAAUCCAGGAAGCAUGAAACAAUCGACCCCAAAUCGCUAAGAUUUUAUUAAUAACUGACAGCUUCCAUAAUUUUUGUCCCCAGUUCCAACUUAGGACCAACCAGAGGAAGCCAGAUAUGCUCCUUCCACUGCACCACUUGCACUUUUAUGGAGGCUGAGCCUCAAGUGCCUUCAGUAGCCCAGCAAGCAGGACACCAGUGAGAGACUGGGAUUUUCCUUUUUAAUCUAAAUUCACCAUGAUUUCAACGAAGUACAAGGUGUCCUAAAAGCUGAAAAUGCUGAGGUUCUUCUCACUUGAUCAGAGGGAGGACUCCACGCUCUCUACCCUUGAAGAGCAGGUACGUCAGGUGCUCUGAAGAUCAGUUAAUUGUACCCAACAUCACCCCUGAGAGCUUAACUAUACCACGUCCAAGACAAUGUGGAGGUUGCAGAUAAAGGCCAGUCCUCCUCCUGGGCAGAGAAGACAUGUUUGUAUUGUUCUCCUUGAAAUAUGUUAUUUUAUGUGAGGGAGAACAUUUCCCCAGAACGUAUUCCAUGACAGAGGGGCUAAAAAGCCUUUAUGCUAUUCAUUUUCAAUAACUUCAUUCCAGAUACACACAAAUCAGAUUGCACUGCUCAAAAGGUUUUUCUGUUAAAAUCUAACAUAAAGGAAUUUAUCUUAACUGUCAUUUCAAAUUUUCAUUUUUUCUGGCAAAAUUUUAGAUUAUAAAGAAAAAUAUUUUUUUUCCUAA